UGAAGCAACAGAUUUGUAUGGAGUUGGAAAUGGUUCCCUUCGUUUCCGCUAGGGGCGCUGUUCCAACUUCAUACAAAUUUGAGUUA
rnacentral:pre_miRNA from 1 species